CGCAACCACGCCAGAACGCCAACAUGGCGGCUGUGUCCAGUCGUCAUCGUUGAGCGUGAUAUUAGUGUGCGCUGCUGUCGGCCCACCGUUUACAAAAAUAUUGCAUCUGUGUGCGUGACAAGUUCUACUCGCCUGAGGCCAUUCGUGUUGAAGGGUUCUUACUGCGAAACAGUUGGCUACAAACGAAUGCUAACGUUGUGGUGCGACUAGUGUCUGCUUGGUCCAACGUUUAUAGUUCUGUAAACGUUGGCUUGGUCAGCGGGUCGCUGACGAAGUGUAUUCCUUCGGGACGUCCCAAGUGUCGUGCGAGUCGGACCAACCAGUGUUUGUUAUUACUACAUCGUGUUUCUUGUUACGUUGUGUUGGAAAUAGAGUAUCGCUGGAGACCAGUGAGGUCGGCGCGUAUCUCGUCCGAGUCCUGCAACGCGUCGGUCUCGGAUUCGGCAGAACGCAAGUUGGACCACAGUAAGAGGCCCCAAAACUUGCGAAGUUCUGUCUUUGGCCAGUUUUGAGUACAGUGUAGUUGACUUCUGAUAAAUCACUGGCUUCGAGCCGAUAACCUCGAAAUCUAUGACAUCACGCUUGCAAGGCUACGGUGCAAGUUGGCUCGAAAAAGUGGACAGUGCAUGUUCUGUGCAUAAUGUUUGCAGUAGCCCAUUUUGUUUGUCAACCUUGUGGCUGCGCUCGUGCUGCAAGACUCACCUCCUUGUGGACAUUGUGAUCUGCUGUACGAACGUUGUCGAGCAACAGCUUUGCCACGCUUCCGGAGAACCUUUCAACCGAGUUCAACCUAUCAAGCAAACUUUUCCUGCGUGUUGUGAUAAGACCAAGUUUUGCAGGCCUGCGUGUGUUCAUACAGUAUUUCUAUUCUCUUUGAUGUGCCUCUGUUAUUUAAUGGUUACUACACCUUGUUUCAUGCUUAGCAGGCAAUGUUGCGGAAGCUGUAAAAAUAUGGCGAAUCUUUCCAGAAGCUCAUGCAGGUUCCCUCAUAGCUUUUGGCUACUUCUAACAGAUAAGAAAUUUUCCCUUUCAUGGAAGUAGUACAGUCUCACUCUGUACAUAUUGUGGUGCAGUUGUAUUUGGUCUGCAAUGCUUUCUAUGGCAUAACAUUGUCGCACAUUACAACUACACUCAAAACAUUGAUGUGUGUAGCUUUUCGGACAUGCCUGAGCUUUUGGUGGGUAGCAUGUGCUUCCUGCACCAACAAUUUAGUAAAUAUUGACGUGUCUGCGGAGCGCAAGAGACGAGGACAGAAGAAAGGACACAAUACAGGCGCUUGUCUGUGUUGUCUUCUGGCUUUGUAUGGUUGUUACUACAUAUAGAGCUCCAUGGUUGUAUAUAUUUAUUAAUUCAUUGGUUUUAAAUUUCCUUGCAGCCCUCCUUUCUUCUGUCCUCAUCUUUUGCGCUCUGUAGACACGUUGAUAUUGCAUCACCAACUCGCCCAAGCUUCCACUUCAUCAAAAUAUGGCAAAGUGUUGUUGGUACUUUUUUUCUGUAGCCUUGCUGUAGCACUUCACAACUGCAGGCACUCAUAAUUAGUUUUACACCUUGUGCCCAUACUUCUUAUAGUGGUUCCAUAGUGCAGUGUGCUUGCCUGCAAAUUGUUCAUUGUGAUGUUUCUCACUUCUGUCUUUUUUUUUUUUUUUUUCUGACUGUGUUGCACUUAUAUGGACAGCUAACAGAAUUCUUUCCGUUGUACCUCUCUGAACUACAUCAUAUACAGUGAUGGUUUUUAUUCUGAACAAAGUGAAAAUGAAGAUCUUGUGCUUAAAGCUGCUCUACUUUUUUUGCUCAGAUUUCGCAAUAAGAUUUCAUUUCGUGGCCUGAAUCACCCAGUAAAAUAGUUAACAUUCCUGUUGGCCUGACUUGUCCUGACAUUUAAGUUGCCAGCAGUCGGGAAACCAGUCUUUGUCAUUGUACAAGCUGGUUCAGUUCGCCUGCAACUGUUGCUUUUGAAGGUUCUGCUUGAUGAAUCCGGGAAGCAUUGAUACUAAGGGUUUAGAAUUUAAUGAUCAGAAGGAAAGAAAGUGAUUGUGCAGCAAAAUUUGAGCAAUAACAAACUAGUGGUAAUUGCAAAAUCUUGUUUUGUAAGGUUGCCAGAAUAAAAAAUGUUGGUCACUGCA
rnacentral:lncRNA from 1 species